GUGCAUCUGCUAUAGUUGAUGAUUUGUUGCCGCUGACAAUCAAGGGCCUGAUUUUGAUCAAACCAUACUUCAGUGGGGUCAAGAGGACGGAAUCAGAGUUGAGAUUGGAGAAAGAUCCUGAUUUUCCGUUGGCUCUUAAUGAUACGAUGUGGGAGUUGGCACUGCCACUAGGUGCAGACCGUGAUCAUGAGUAUUGCAAUCCGACGGUGGGAGGUGGAUCAAAGCUGAUUGAGAAAAUGAGCUCGCUCGGAUGGAGGGUGAUGGAGUACGUUGGCUUUGCUGACCCAAUGAGUGACCGUCAGAUUGAGUUUCUAAAGCUUUUGGAACAAAAGGGCGUGGCUGUGGUGGGCCAUGUUGAUGGUAGUGGCCACCGUAGUAGAGACUUUGCUGGUCCUGCUCUGUGCGGUUAUUUUAAAGACUUUGUUUUGUCCUCCACGAAGACUGCUUAAUUAGUGAGUGGUGGUGGGUCAGUGUAAUUAGGAAUUUGAUGUUUAAUUAUGAUUCUCGCUUUGGAUUUUUAUGAUAAUUGCAACUAAUAAAAGCAUUCCAUCUUUUUUUGUUUUAGGGUAUUUACACCGUAGUGUUUGUCCUUUUUAAAAAAAUAAAUAAAUAAGUUGAUUAUUGUCAAUCAUAAAUUUACACUAAAAAAAUAUUACAAUUGUUGUAACUUUCAACCUCUUUAAAAAUCACGUAGAUUCUACUAAUCAUACAGAUUCUAUCAUUUAUUACAUUUUUUACAUGAUUUUGAAGAUGUUAUAAGUUACAGCAGCUGUAACUUAUUUAAUUUUUAUUUGAUUUAACACUUUGUAAUUUUGCACAUUUAUUUUUUAUUUGAUUUAAGCUGUACACUAUUAAAAUAUCUAAAAAGUUAAAGAGGAUUGGUCGAUGUUUGAAGUGCCUAAGUAUAUUUGUACGUAGUGGCAAGAAAAAAUUUAGAUGCUUAAUUGCUGUUAAUAUAUUUAUGAUCAUGACAAAGCCGGAGCAAUUAACAAUCUAUCACACCAGACAAGAUCUGAUCAUUUUAUGUUAACACGGAGCCAACAGCACAGAAGAGCUAUAACAAAUAAAACACCACUUAAACUGGCCAUAUCGAUCACUCACGUAACAUUUAUAAUAUGCAGCCACAUUAAUUCUCAAGACAAAAUGAAUUUUUUUAUGUUAACAUACAGAGCCUCAAGCUUGACAGGAUCGCCAAUCAUAUCGUGGGGGCUAUCAUCAAAAUAACUCACCACAUUCACACCCUUCUGCUCCAUCAACUUCGCCAGUUCAACUUGACGGUCAAACAACGUAUCCUCACUGCCCCCAGUCACCAUCACCUUCCACCCUAACAACCUGAAUUGGUCUAAAAACUUUGACCCACCUCCCACAAUUGGAUUGGAAUACUCAUGAUCGCGGUCAGCCCCGAUGGGUAAUGCUAACUGCCACGUGAAAUCAGUUUGAGGUGGUGGUAAAAUCGGUUGAUUGGCCAACCUCAACUCUGACUCAGUCCUUUUGACCCCACCGAAGAAAGGCUUGAGCAAUAUCAGCCCUUUGAUCUUCAAAGGUAACAAAUCAUCAACUUGUGCGGCUGCUUGCAGUGCUGCGUGGUAAGCGAUGUUGCCACCUCCGCUAUCACCCAUUAUGAAACAAGACGAGAAGUCAGCGUAUUGUCGCAACCAGUGUUCUUGAGUGGUUUUGACCCAUUGCAAGACUUCCACGGCAUCAUCAUAGGCCGCUGGGAGGCGGUGCUCGGGGGCAAGCCUGUAAUCUACUGACACAAUAAUGGCAGGGACUCGGGCUGCAAUUUCUGAGCAUAAAUCAUGGUAGAUUUUUGUGGCUGCGCUUAAGAGAAGGAGGCCUCCACCGUGGGUGUAAACUACGAGGGGAAACUUGGUGUCGGUGGAAGAAUCAAGUGCUUGACGGGGCAGGAAUAUGCGGACCCAAGUGUUGUUUGAUUGGUUGACGGGGACAUCUUUGGAGAGAGCUAUGGUGUCGUCAUUUGGAUCGGGUGUGGCUGCGGUGUUUGGGUAGAGGCUGUGGUUGCGAAUCAUCGUGCCGUCGGAGUUGAAGGUGAACAUAGGGUGUUGGGGGAAAUCAGUGGUUGACUCACAUAGAGCAGUUGUGUCUGACAUGUUUAACCUUAGCUGAGGUUAUGUGAUGAAUGAAAUUGGAAAUAAUUAUUUGAUAUGCUUUCAGCUUUUAUUUCGAGGCUCCGAUGGCUUUGAGAAGUCACGGGGUCUAAUUUAUAGAGAGAGUAGGGGAGAUUGAAGCAUUUAAGAAAUUUUUUAAUACAAAAAAUUACUCUGUCAUGAAUUAGAAAGACAAAACUCAAAAGCAUAAGAAUUCUGAAUUGAAUUUUUGCUGAACAUUGAUCAUUAGAUAAAAAAAUUAAAAAUUAAAAAUAAUUUUAAUUUAUUUAUUGUGAAAUAAAAAUUCAACUCUAUAUUAUUUUAAUUUCAGAAAAUAUAAUACAACAACUAUGAAAGAUAUUAAUAUAAUUAUUUUUUCAAAAUCUGAUUUUGAGAAUAAAUUUCAUCCUUAAUAAAAUAUCACAUGUAUUACAUAAAUACAAAACUAGUAUUAUUCAAUUCAAAUAAAAAAUCAAUAAAUAUUAUAAUGAUUUUUAUUUUACAAUUGUGAUUUUCUUUUGGGCAGUAAGUCUUAUAUUAAUUUACAUAUUUUAUCUUUUAUUCAUAAGUUUUAGGCAUAAUCUACAAAAUUUAUGUUUUAGUUUGCACAUAAUGUUGAUUUACUUAUUUGAUGUUAUAUUUGUAAGUUUUUAUUUUAUUUACCAAUAAUACAUCAAUUUAUCAGUUUUGUAGUAAUUUACUUUUUUACCUUCUUCUUACAAUCCUUAUGUUCUAUUUCCAAAAUUUAUGUUUUAUUUUAUAGUUAGUGUUGACUUAUUUGUUUUAUGCUUUAUUUCCAAAUUUUUGUUUUGUUUACUAUUAAUACAUUAAUUUACUGAUUUUAUAUUAAUUUGCUUGUUUUACCAUACAUUUACAAAUCUUAUAUUCCAUUUCUAAAAUUUAUCUUUUAUUUUGCGCUUAAUGUUGACUUAUUAGUUUUAUAUUAUAUUUGUAAGUUUUUAUUUUAUUUACUAGUAAUACAUCAAUUUACGAAUUUUAUAAUAAUUUACUUGUUUUACCUUUUCUUUAUAAAUCUUUUGUUUCAUUUUGAAAAUUUAUGUUUUAUUUUACAGUUAAUGUUGACUUACUAGUUUUAAUUUAUAUUUGUAAUUUUUUGUUUUGUUUACUAGUAAUACAUCAAUUUACUAGUUGUAUUUUUAUUUACUUAUUUUACCUUACAUUUACAAAUCUUAUGUUCCAUUUCUAAAAUUUAUGUUUUAUUUUGUCUUAAUGUCGAUUUAUUAGUUUUAUAUUAUAUUUGUAAGUUUUUGUUUUAUUUACUAGUAAUACAUCAAUUUAUCAGUUUUAUAGUAAUUUACUUGUUUUAUAUUUUCUUUAUAAGUCUUUUGUUUCAUUUCAAAUUUUUUUUUUUAUUUUACACUUAAUGUUGACUUACUAGUUUUAAGUUAUAUUUGCAAGUUUUUGUUUUGUUUACUAGCAAUACAUCAAUUUAAUAGUUGUAUAUUAAUUUAUUUAUUUUAUCUUUCAUUUACAAAUCUUAUGCUUAAUUUUUAAAUUUUAUGUUUUAUUUUGUACUUAAUGUUAAUUUACGAGUUUUAUUUUGUAUUUGCAAGUUUUGAUUUUAUUUACUAAUAAUACGUUAAUUUACCAAUUUUAUGUUAGUUUACUAAUUUUACCUUUUAUUUACAAGUCUUAUAUUUAAUUUCUAAAAUUUAUGCUUUAUUUACAGUUAAUUUAAUUUACAAGUUUUAUGUUAAAUUUAGAAGUUUUAUAUUUCAUAAUAAUCAAACAAUCAUUUGCCUCGACCAAAAAAAAAAUUGAAUUUCGACUCUCAUCAAACAGACUCAUUUAUUUUUUAUUAUUGUUUGUCUUAAACCGUAAAACUUGCUUAGUUGCUAAUUUUAUUCAGGUAUGGGACCAAAUUCUGAGGUCGAUGAGCCGCACAACUCAAAAUUAUCCCCUCUCUUAUCUCAAGGAUUUAGUUACGUAUCCCAUUCGACGUUUUCUCCUCCCUUAUCUCCAAGGAUUUCGCGUCAGGCUGCCAUCCAAUGAUUGUGUGCUUGCUUUGUAGUUUUAUGAGAACUUAACUAAUACGGACUACUCAUGCUUGGUGAGUAACAGAGCAUGUUUUGGGCAUAGUUCUAUACCAAUUAAUAGUUUAGACAAGAAAGCUUGUUCCCUUAUAGAAAAGUUGGUGCUUUUCAAAGAAAGACAGCUAUAAGUUAUUAUAUUUUUUAUUAAAACAAAUUUUGUUUAUUACUUUUAAUAAAAAAGUACAAUUAAUGUUUCUUUAUAAAAACUUUUAAGCAUUAUUUUCUAUAAGCCAAAUAUUAUACAAUAGAAAUUAUGAAAAAAAACGAUUAUAAAAUGCUUGGCCAAGAUGAUGGAGAAAAGUGUGUGAAUGUGGUAAUUGCUGGUUACUAUUGGGAAGAGUGUUUAUAUUUAUACUCAUCUCAUUGCAUUUUGCUUAUUUAAAAUCUGAAUUUAUCAUUAACAUGUUGUCAAGUUGUGUAAUAUUUUUAGCAUUUAAAAUGUUAAUUUAAUUUGGAUUGAUAUAAUAAAUUCUAUAAAUACUAAAGUAAUGUUAGGGAUCCUAAUUGAUAUAUAUGACUUUCAUCUAUUAAAUGAUAAAAUAUAAUUCAUCAUCCAAUAUAUGAAUAACACAUAACAUGAAGAAUCAUAAAUUGAAUUAGUCUCGUUAAUAAUUCGUUGAGUCUGAAAUCCAGCUAAUAGCUACUCGAGAAAGGCUAACUAAUAGACAGUUAGAGGGAUGGCAGGAUGGAGUUUAACCCCAACUUAAGUAAAAAUCUGAAUGUUAGAAUCCCAAACAUUAUUCUUUAUAUAAUACAUAAUUCAUUUUCCUUUUCUUUUUUUUUAAAAUAAAUGUCUAAAAAUAUCUAACAUCAUCAUGAUACGCACGAGAUUAAAUUAGCAAGCUUAAUUAAUUAUCAUAUGAUAAAAAAACAACCCCUAUUGUUUAAUGUUAGAAAUUAUAAAAUAAUGAGAUCGAAAUUUUACUAUAAUACAUAAAAUAUAUUUGCAUCACAUAAAAUGUUACAAUUAUGAAUGUGGUAAUAUCUUUCAAGAUUAUAAUAAUAAUAGCACUAAAACUCACGUGAUUAAGGUAUUGAGCUAUAAAGUGUGUCACGGCUGAAUUUUAACACCCCUAAAAUUCAUAUAACACGCCUCUAGAAUUUUAUAAAAUACUCCGUAGUCCAUAUAGAAUUUUAAUUAUCUUCCCACAGAAUUUCAUCUCUAAAAAGUUAUCUCUUUUAAGUUUUUGUUAUAAAAUACAUACAAAUCCUAAAAUCUUAAUUAUUUUCUUCUUAUUAUAUUAUUUAUAUCUCCAUAGCUCAAAACUCUUAUUAGUUUCUUUAAAAAAAUAUUUUUCAUUUAAAAUUUAAAACAUAAAAAUAAAUUAUGAAGUGGGAUAGGUAUAAAAAUUUAGCUAAAAAUAUUUUACAGUGUGUAGUUGAAUUUUCAUUGAAAAAAAAAUAAUUGUCUAUGGUUAUUUAGGUAAUUUUAAUAAGAAAAAGAUUUUGUGAGGAAUUUGAGGGAUGUCAAAAAGAGAGAUUGUAGAGUUCUUUUGUUUUGGAGUCUUCAUAUAGUACAAAGCUGUACGACAUACAACCUACUUUUUCCACUCGAACAACCGGUAUUUUACCGGUUGUUCUUUCAAUAUUAAAAAAAAUCAUUUUUAAUGNNNNNNNNNNNNNNNNNNNNNNNNNNNNNNNNNNNNNNNNNNNNNNNNNNNNNNNNNNNNNNNNNNNNNNNNNNNNNNNNNNNNNNNNNNNNNNNNNNNNNNNNNNNNNNNNNNNNNNNNNNNNNNNNNNNNNNNNNNNNNNNNNNNNNNNNNNNNNNNNNNNNNNNNNNNNNNNNNNNNNNNNNNNNNNNNNNNNNNNNNNNNNNNNNNNNNNNNNNNNNNNNNNNNNNNNNNNNNNNNNNNNNNNNNNNNNNNNNNNNNNNNNNNNNNNNNNNNNNNNNNNNNNNNNNNNNNNNNNNNNNNNNNNNNNNNNNNNNNNNNNNNNNNNNNNNNNNNNNNNNNNNNNNNNNNNNNNNNNNNNNNNNNNNNNNNNNNNNNNNNNNNNNNNNNNNNNNNNNNNNNNNNNNNNNNNNNNNNNNNNNNNNNNNNNNNNNNNNNNNNNNNNNNNNNNNNNNNNNNNNNNNNNNNNNACUUAUUAUUCCACCGGUUUUACAUUUGAUAUACCUACUAAAUUCAUUAAAUGCCAAAAUUUUGGAUUAUAUUCUAAGUAAUUUUCAUUUUCCGUUCGAUGAGCUCCUAAUUUUCGUUACACUUUCUCUCUUAUUGGUUCAUGUGUUUCAACUAAUUGUUACUCUAAUUUUGUGUUGAAUAUUCCCAUUAAUUUGGUAAGAUUCUAAUUAUUUCGGUUAGGUACCCAAUUUAUUUUUCAUAAUUUUUUUUUUUGGUUAGAAAAGUUUCUAAUUUUAGUUAUACUUUCUCCCUUAUAGGUCUAUAUAUUUCAACUAUUAUUUCACUGAUGUUGCGUUUAAUAUUCCAAUUAACUUGGUGAGAUUCUGGUUGUUUGGGUUAAAUACCCAAUUCACUUUCUUUUUGUUAGAUUAGUUCCUGAUUUUGGUAAAAAAUUUUCAUUUAUAGGUUCAUAUGUUUCAACUUAUUAUUCCACUGGUUUUACGUUUGACAUUCCUACUAAAUUCGUUAAAUGUCAAAAUUUUGGGUUAUGUUCUAAGUAACUUUCAUUUUCCGUUGAAUGAGUUCCUAAUUUUCGUUGCACUUUCUCUCUUAUUGGUUCACGUGUUUCAACUAAUUGUUACUCUAAUUUUGUGUUGAAUAUUCCCAUUAAUUUGGUAAGAUUCCAAUUAAUCCAGUUAGGUACCAAAUUUAUUUUUCAUAAUUUUAUUUUUGGUUAGUUAAGUCUCUAAUUAUGGUUAUACUUUCUCCCUUAUGGGUCUAUUUGUUUCAACUAUUAUUCUACUGAUUUUGGUUUGAACCUUCCCAUUAACUUGGCAAUAUUCCAAUUAUUGGGUUAAAUAGUCAAUGUACUUAUAUUACCAAUAACAAUAAUAUUAAUAAGGUAAAUUAUGUUUAACCCCUUACUAUUUUAGUAAAUAUCAACUUACUAUAUAGUACUGAAAAGCUUUGUUAUAACCCUUAAUCUUUUCUAAUAUUUGUCUAUAAUCUAAGUCCAUUUUUUUUUUCUAUUUUCUUCACUUCAGGUCUCUUGAAUUUGAUUGUGUGUGUGUGUGUGUGUGUGUGUGUGUGUGUAUAUAUAUAUAUAUAUAUAUAUAUAUAUACUUGAGCGUGUAAUCUUUACACAUAUUUAUUCUCAUUUUAUCAUUUUAGUUAAAUUAUUUUUAAGGUAUCAAAAAAAAUAAUGGGUUUCUUUUUCCGCUCUUCUCUUUACCUCUUUUAAAUAAUUUUCUUUUUAUUUUUUCAAAAAUUUGUCAAAAAUUUGACAGUAAAUUAAAAGUAGAUGUAAAGGUGCUUGCAAUUGUUGUGUUUUUCAAAAAAUAAAAAUUAAUUUUUUAAAAGUUUUGAUAGCAUAAAUUAUAAAAAAUGUUUAAACUUACAAAAGUUGAAAUUUUCUUAAUUUAUUUGUGUUGAAUUAUCUUUUUGUUUUUGGGGAAUCAAUUGAAUUGAUAAGAUUUCUUGAACUUGAAUUUAUUUAUACUUAAAUUUUGAUCUUUGUACAUGUUAUGCCCAUUUUAUCAUUCAAUUAACCAUAUUUAUUAAUCUUUAAACCAAAAUAAAUCAAGAAUUAAGAUUUUUUUGAAUUCAAAUUAAAUUUUUACCGCUCUAUUUUCUUUUCAAAUUAGUUUUAUUAAUUUCCAAUUACUUCAACAAAAUAUUUAUGUUAUUAAUUAUAAAUAUUAUUAUAUUAUACUUGUAUUAUUACCACUAUUAUUUUUUAAAACUAUUACUACAAUUAUUAUUACUACAAUCAUGAGAUUUUUUAACAAAAUUUUUUUAUAAUGAGUAUUUUUCUUUUUCAUUUUAAAAUAUGUGUAUAAUUUUCAAUUUAUCAAAUAAGUUAUUCAAUAUAAUUUUCAGAAAUUUGUUAUGGCCAAUAUGGUACGAUGAAAAUAUAACAUUAUAGUAAGAACAUUUUGUAAUAUGAUUUAGCAUGUUUAAUUAAUUUAUUUUUUUCAAAUGGUCUUUUUUACUCAUAAAUUUAUUGGCAUUUAUUUGCAAAUAGAAUUAUAAUGUCCUAGUACUUUAUCCUAUGCACUUAAAAAUUACUCAAAUCAAGAUUUUCAUUACAAGAAUGAGAACUUCGAUCACUUAAGCAGUUAGUUACAAUAGUAACCUAAUGUGAGGCUUAUUGAAAAGUUAAAAUUACAAAAAGAGUCGAGCCUAAAACCACUUUUGUUCAUAAAUUUUUUUUACAAGCUUGUGAGAAAAUAACUCUUUAAAAACUAUUAAUAUCAAUAAAACUAUUACAAAAUUAAAUCAAUUCACAACUUCCAAAAGCCAAAUCAAAUGCUACUAAUUUGAGAUUUAGAUUUCAUGGGUCUCUGCAUAAAAAAAUACAAAAACCAAAUGAAAUUCGAAAAAAAGGCUGCAAAAAAAUAACAAAAAUAUUCAGAUUUCAAAUGUAUGAUCUAAAUUCUUAGGCAGAAUCAGAUAUCUAUUGUUUUCAACAAAAAAAUUGAAACUUAAAUAUAAAAUAACACAAAACUAUAUUCUAAUUUUAACAGCAUAUUUUUUUAUGAUUUUUUAACAACAAUAUUCAAAAUAUAUAAAAAAAUCCUCGACUAGCAUACUCAUUCUACGGAACUUGAAGUGUUGAAAUUUCUUUUUUCAGUUUGAAAUNNNNNNNNNNNNNNNNNNNNNNNNNNNNNNNNNNNNNNNNNNNNNNNNNNNNNNNNNNNNNNNNNNNNNNNNNNNNNNNNNNNNNNNNNNNNNNNNNNNNUUUGACCUCUAAAAAACCGAAAUAGUAAUAUAAAAAAAUAGUAAAACCAAUCAGUUCGGUUUUCGAUUUAAAAAAAAAAACCGCAAAACCGAAUCGAAAUCUCAAAUAAACCGAUUGUUUUGAAAGCUAAAGCUAAAACCUAAAAGCCUAAAAUCCAAAUCUAAACUUCGGACUUAUGUCUUCUUCGGUUCCCGACUUCUUCUGUUCCCGCUAGCCGCGUGGCAUCCCUCGCUGCAAUUUUUGCUUCUGCUAACCUUGUUACUGUCUCAACUGCACUCUUUUCCACAGAGUUGAAAUCAUUCUGCUUUUUGGCCUCCGUUGUCUGCACCCAGACCUUCACAAAUUGACCUUAUUGAUUGAUUGCUUUUGCUUGGGAAAUCACAGAGAAGAUGCAACACAUCAGGUGGGAUGCACUUUCCUUCUUGGGCAUAUUAUCGAACACGUCCUAGGCAUGAUAAUUAUACCAUAAUUCCUCAACAAUAUCUCUCUUGAACCUGGCCUGCAAAUUCCAUAUAAUCAUUCCUUUGUCUAUUUCUGUUUGACGUGCAGAGCUCCGCCAGUUUUGGGAUUGGGACGGAAAGGAAGAGGGGUUCCGCUGCUGCUGGCGGCCAUAUUAUCGAAGGGACCUACGCCGAAUCUGAACCGUUGAUUCGCUUGUUGGACUUGAUUAGGACCCACAAUCAUCGUCUAUCAUCCUUGUUCGAGCGUCGGCUUAAAAUUCAGGUACAGACAGUUUAUAUAUUUUCUUUUCUUCUCUACUAUAGUUUUAUUUUUCCUUUAAAACUAAAAAAAAACUUUGCCACCGUCCUUUUGAUUGUAUUUAUGUCUUAAAAAAAGAAAAAAAAUUACCAAAAAUACAUAACUUUUCAUUUUUUUUAUAAUAUAUAAUCUCGAUUUUUGUAGAUAGUUUAUGUAAUAAUUUAAUAUAUAUAUUCUUGGUUGGCCAAAAUGAAUACAAAUGCAAUUAAUGAAUGAAAAAGUUAUUCAUAAAGCAUCAUUUAUUUAUUUGUUCAUUGCGGUUAAGUUGUAUGCGAUCCAUUUGGUUGUUGGUUACAACCAGUUAAACAUUUAUUUAUUUUGAUUUAAACUUGUUAUUUGAACAUAUUAUGUGUUCUUGAACAUACUUUGAGACAUAUUUUGAGUUUUUGUUUGUUAACUUUUUAUGUUCGUGGUAGAUUUAUUAAUUUAAGGUUUUUUAUAAUCGAACCAAAUCGAAUCGAAUUAUUUCAAUUAAUCGAGUAUUUGAUUAUUUCGGUAAUUUGAUUAAUCGCGAUUAUGAUUUUAAAACAAUCGUAAUCGAACGAUUAUAAAAAAUUUAGUAAAAAACCGAACCGAACCGCGCCCACCCCUAAUUUCAAGGGUCCCUGCGUACAAAAAAAAUAAUAAAUAAAACAAUAAUAAUAAAUAAAUGAUAAUAGAAAACAAGGAUAGGAAAAAUAAAUAAUAUUCAAAAUUUCAAAUUUCAAGUCCUAAAUUCUUGGGUAGGACCAAAUAAAUUUUAUUUUCAACAAAAAAAGAAAACUCUAACGCGAACGAAACACAAAACUAUAUACUAAUUUCCAACAAUAUAUUUUUUAAAGAAAUUUUUAACAGCAAUAUUAAAACAUAAAAUUAUUUCCAGACUAGCAUACUUGUUCUAUGCAAUUUUUAUGUCAACUUUAAUUUAACGAUAAUGUAUCUUUGGAAGAUAAAGAGAGAAUGCAUCUACAAUAAACAAGAACAAAUUGAUUGCAUGAAUAAUAUAAAUCAUCGAAUAGCAUCUAAUAUGAACAACUUACAAAAUGAAAAGAAAUUAAGCACCUAAAAGUAACUGUCAAAAAUUCAUCAGCAUAUAGAUUUUUUCUUGUAAGUAAAAUGCAUUCAAAAUCUAAACCUUAUUUAUUUAUCCAUUUGCUUGUAUAUUUAUUGUAGUUUUCAUAAUUUUUAUAAUUUUUAUAAUUUUUCAGCAUACCCAAAACAAUCGGUUCAAGUAGCCAGUGCACAUAAAAUAUCUAGAUUACGAAUUACCAUAGCAUUUAAAAUGGUAGUAAUAUCAAUACCACAAUGGGGGGGGGGGGGGGGAACUCAAAUCAAUAUAAUUUUUAGUUUUUUCUUUCAUUUGUCUAGCAUGAAACAAUUGAAUGAAAUAAAACCGCUAUAGAAAUCAGUAUUACAGCAGCAUUCAGUUUAGGAAACAAAUGAAAAAAAAACACGAGAUUUUAAUUUUAAGAAUUGUUCAUAAGUAAAAACAUGACCAAAUUACCCUAACAAUGUUAGUUAAUAAACUACCUUCAUUAUAUUAGUUAACAAAACACCUACACAGAGGUUACUACCAAAAUUAAGCAAAUAUAAAAGAAUUCAGAAAAUAGCUCUUCAAAAUCUAAUUUCUCUUCAACUAUUUAUUGUUCAAGAAUAAUUUGCCAAAAGAAGCUUAUUUGUCAUACAGAAAUGGAUUGUGGUGCUCAGCUGACGAGCAAGUUGACUAACCCAAACUCAUAAUUCCCAUCAUCACCUUUGCAUAACAUAUAAUAGUAAUAUAAUGAUUGAGAAACCACAAAAUUCAUGCGCUGAAAUCAAAACAUCACAGCAAUUCAAAAAACUCGAAAUUCAUUUGUUGCUUUGAAAGAGGAGAAUACAUCCAGAAUUAACAAGAUCAAAACUUUUCAGGACUACUGAUCCAUGAUUGCAUGAACAACAUAUAUCAUGAAAAUAGCAUCUAAUAUGAAAAACUUACAAAAUGCAAUAGAAAUUAAGCACCUAAAAGAUUUAGAUUUGUUCUUGCAAGUAAAAUACAUUCAAAAUACAAACCUCGUUCAUUUUUUUAUUUGCUUGUUUAUUUAUUGUAGUUCCCACAAUUCUUAUGAUUUGUCAGAAUUCCCAAACACUUUUUUCGGGGUACUUAAAAAUAACUAGAUUACAAAUUAUCAAAGCAUUGUAAAUGGUAGGAAUAACGAUAUCACAACAGAGAAAAAAAAACUCAAAUCAAUGUCUUUUUUAGCUUUUUUUUAAUUUUUCUAGCAUGAAACAUUAAAAAGAAAUAAAAUUAUUGUAGAAAUCAGCAUUAUACCUGCAUUUUCUUGCAUUUACAAUGAAAAGAGGCAAAAUACUUGUGACCUUAAUUUUAAGAAUUCUUCAGAAGUAAAGAAAUUCAUGCUAUCUAAUAGGAUUUCAUUACUGAAUUUCACAAGUUAUAUACACAUAUAUACACACAAAUAUAUUAUCACAUAAAUUUUUUGUCGAGAAUUCAGAUGCAAUUUUUUCUUUAAUUUCAACUAUCUAAACAUUUGGACCAUAAUUUUUAUAUUUCUUUCAAUACAGGCAUAGUUCAUCUAUUUCAUCAAAUAAAAACAUGACCAAAUUACCCUAAUAAUAUCAGUUAAUAAGUUCCCUUUAUUAUUACCUAUAAAAAUUACCUUUAUUAUAUUCUUAGCAGAUUUUUCUUUGAAUUGGCGGCAGUAAGCUCAAGCUUAGGCUACUCAUCACUCAUCAGCGUCACUUGGACUUGGAUCCAACCACUUGAGAGGAGUCAAAAGCAUUGUUUGCAUCAGAUCGUCCGUCAAUUUUCUCCCUUGCCAAUCCAUCUAGAACGGAACCAUAAAACAUGCAAGAAAAAAAAAAGGGAUUGAAAACUUUAAUUGAUAAUUGAAAAUACAUAAAAAAAAUAAUUACAGUUAAUAUCUAAACCCUAAUAAGACGAGUUCAAGAAAAGGGAACUGAAUUUAUAAAUUUUUUAUGCGAAAUGCUUGAGCAUAGAUUUUGAAUAUAAUUUCAAAGCUUGCACAUUUACCUCGAACUAUAAGUGUUCGAAAGAUGCCAACUUUUUUAUUGCUUGAUUUUGGGAGAUUAACGAAGGUGAAAAGAUGAGGGAUCUAGGGACUUAGUGAGAAAGACAUAAGGUAAGAGCAAGAUUUACAAAAUUUAGGAGUAAAAACUCAUGGCGACCGCUUGUUUUUCUUUUUGUUGAGCGUCUAUAAUGGCGGCCGGUGAUAUCUUUGAGUUGAGUGGCUAGGGUUUCUAACAAUGGAAGAAUGAGAGGUAUUUAUAUUUUGAAUCAAAAUUUGGGGAAAAAAAUUAAAAAAUUGUAAAUGUACACGGUAUUAAAAAAAAAAUUAAAAAAUUGUAAAUGUACACGGUAUUAAAAAAAAUUGUUUAUUUUUUAUCUUGGCGGUAGUUUUACCCACCUAAAUGAAACCUAAUUACUUAUUGUUUCACCAAAAAUAAAAUUUAAUUUAAUUUAAAAAAUAUAGAUAUAAAAUUUAAGCUUGUUAAUAUUUUUACAUAAUUUCAUUAUUUUUAGUUGUUAUAUAAAUUAACUUGAUUUAAAAGAAAUAGCUAUAAAUGGAAGAUUGAACUUGUUUUAGACAGAUUUUGGGGGUAGAAAAAGAUAAACCUAUCUAGAAUAAUGAAUUUGUAUUUUUAAGAGAAACGGGGUACCUCACUGGUUUGUUGUGUGCGGUGUUUCUGAAAUUCGAAGGAGGUGAAAAGGGAAAAAGAAAGUGGUAACAAUGGUGAAAGGUUUGAACCCAGAAAAAGUCUUUCGAAGCGAGCUUCACGCCUGCAAAACAGUGAAAUAUACGUUAGAGGUGAAGCCAAGGUACCCCGUCAUUCACACUCUGACGCUCAAGUUAGCAAACUCAAGUUUUUUUUUAUAGAAAAGAGAGCUUGCCCGCCCUCUAUAAAUCAAGGUUUAAGGUUGAAGAAAGCUUAUUUUGUGGAGUGUGAGUGUUCAUGAGUGAAUGAGAACAUGACGGAGAAUAAAACCUAGACCUUUAUAUAUGGAGUACCUCUGUUGCCACAUGGCGUAUCUUUUUUUGCUAUUGGCUAUCCCUUUUCAGGCCUUUCACGUCUUUUUACUUUUUUAUGAUUUUUUGGCCGUUAUGUGCAUGCUUGGUAAUCAAGAAGGCGUUCGUGGCGUAUCUCAUCCUUUGGAAACAUGGCGCGCUCUGGAGAGUGGUCCAGGGUACCUUUGCAAGGACAGUGUCCUUCACUUUUGGCAAAGGUGGCAAGCGGUUGUCCCCCCUUUUCAGUACGACGUUUUGAUAUUUAAUUCUAAUAAAAUCAAAUAUUAUCCUUCAAGAUAUGGAAAUAUUUCUCAUGGCAAACUUUUUCAGAGGAUUCUCCUGAAUCGAAUCUGUUGGGUACCUCAAGUUAUAUGGGGUACCCCGAUCUAUGCGGGAUACCUCUAAUUAUGCCGGGUACAUCUAAUUAUGCCGGGUACCUCUAAUCAUGCAGGACACCUCUAAUCGUGCGGGGUACCUCGAAUCAUACCGGGUACCUUGGAUUAUAUUGGAGUUAUUCCGAUCGUCAACACAUGGCAUUUUGCUAUUUUUCCUGUUUUUCCCCCAAACAGAACUAAUUUUGUGAUAAUUGCACACUAUUCAAUAUACAAAUAUGAAUCAUCUAGUGAGUGUAGUAUUACUCAAAUAAUUUGACUUAAUUUAGAAAUGUAAUUGUCAUGCUUAAAGUAUAUAACUGUAAAAAUAAUUUAAUAUAACAUUAUUCAAUAUUAGUUGCAUUCAAUUUGUAAUUAUCCAUAUUAUGUACCAUUAUGAAUUUGAUUAAUGUUUAGCAAAAAAAAAAAUUUACUAUAUCAAAAAAGAUUAAAUAAAAUAAUUAAUUUGACAUAAUUUUGUAUGAAUUAAUUUGCAUAAGAGAUUGUUUGUGAGUUUUAUUUUAAAAUAUCAAAUAUUAGAUGCUUUAUAUUUUUCUAAUAUAUGAUUAUUUUUUUAGAGGGUGUACAAAGAACAUAUUAAUUUUAGCCACUAAUAAUAACAACAACAACAACAUUUGAGGGGUAAGUAUGAUGUUUGGUAUAAUAAUUAUUCGAUAGUUGGAUAAACAUUGCAACCAUUUUCGUAGGUAGGGAUUUAAGUCCUUAUAUGUGUAUUGUGGGAUAUUGGGAUUGAUUUCUUCCAAAUAUUUAGGAAUGAAUUGUUUUUAUUAUAUGUUUAGAUACUGGGAUUUUAAUGUGAUUGAAAGUUGAUAAAGUUGUUUUAAUAGUUUUUUAUGCAAAACAUCAUUACAUUUAUAAAGUAAUAUAAAAAUAGUUUAAUUGAUAUAUAAUUUAUUUUUUAAUUAAUAUAUAAUUUAUUGUAAUUUAAUAUAUUAAAAUAUUAUUCUUAUUAGUACAUAAGUUACAUUUCUAAAGUAAAAUAUCAUUAAAUUUAUAACGUAAUAUUAAUAAAAUAAAAUAAUUAUUUUGGUUGUUUAAAUAUAUUAAUCUAUUAAUUUUACUUAAUUAUAUUUUUUAUUAGUACAUAAGUUAAAUAUAUUAACUAUUUUUUCAUGAAUUAAAAGAAAAAGGAGUAUUUUCUUUUUUAAGUUGAGGGGGGUCUUUGAUAGUUUUCUAAUUUUAGAUUGAUUAUCUUAAUAUUUACCUAAAUGGAGGGAGCUAUAUGAUAGUUACCAUUUAAUUUUACCUCUUUUAACCAAUUAAAAUGAGAGUACCGGUGGCCGGUUAUUGGUUGUAUUAAUAAAAUAAUAAAAAGCGGCUGUGUGAGAUACAGCAGCUGUAUUAUAAGCGGACCCUUUGAUAUAAAAGAUUACAAUAUUUAAUUAAUAUAUUUUCAUCACAACAAUUUGAUGUGUUUUUGUUUUAAAAGAUUACCAAUAAAACUAAUUGGUCUAUAUGGUUGAUCCUAAUCAAAGGAAAAGGUUGCAAAUAUCUAAGUCUCAUUUAGAAACUAAUUGGCUCUAAUAUUGUAUAGAAAUCAUAAACAUAAUUCAUACUUAAAAUCUAACUCAUGAACUGUGGAUCACUUCAAACUUGUAUGCUUAGCAUAAAAUUUAUUCUUAAUUAGCUGAUGUGGGAUAAAAAUCUCCUUAAUAGAAAAUCAUGUUGGUUACUUUCAGAGUACACAAGAGCUGUUACUCUCUAUGUAAUAAUGGCUAUAUUCUGAAUGAUUUUAUGGAUGACACAACGCUGAAAGUAACCACUGAUUGCAUUAACCGUACAUGGAAUCAGACGAUCAAUACCCAAAUAAUGAAUGACAAUCUGGCAGGCAAGAUGCAAACAGCUCUUGUGUACUCUGAGGCUCAUGGGACUUGAAUCGUUGUAAGAUAUACCUGCGUAGUAAGUAUGUAGAUUUCUGAAAGCUUACACGGACUCAAUCUUGGUGAGUGAGUGAUAGUGGGUGAACGAACAUGUUUUGGGUAUAGUUUUUAUUUUUAUACCAAUUAUUUGCUUUAGACAAGAAAUCCUUUUUCGUGAUACAACUAUUACUUUUUUUUUCCUUCCUCCCAAAAGAAAGACAGCUAUAGGUUUUUAUUUUUUAUUUUUUUAAAAUAAUUUAUUUAUUUAUUUUUAUUCAAAGAGUAUUACAAACAUUUCUUUUCAAAAGCCAAUAGGCUUUGGGAUGAUGAUUGGUUCUUGCUCUGUUACUGUCGCGGAGCUCUGGGGCUUAUAUCAAGGGAUCCAACUUACAUGGAAUUCUGGUAUCCGCAGAUUGAAAGUUGAAACGGAUAGCCUAUGUGUUACUCAAUUGGUGGCUGGACCUUCGGUGUUGACCAAUGAACAUGCUCCCUUGGUCCAGGCUAUAAAAGAUUAUCUCAAAUUGGAUUGGCAUGUUUCCAUCUCUCAUAUCUACAGAGAAGCAAAUUUUGCUGCAGAUUAUACGGCGAAGCUCGCUUUUUCUAUUCCGCUAGGCCUUACUGUGUACCCUUCCCCCCCUUUGGGUGUUAGGGCUCUAUUAUUGCAUGACUCUUACGGGGUUUCUCACCCCUGUACUGUUGUUCUCUAGCUCUUCUUAGAGCCCCAAUUAAUCAAAAAAAAAAAAAAAAGCCAAAUAUGCAUAAAAGACCUACGAUGCAAAUUUCUAUUAUGCACGUACUAAAAAAAAAAAAAUUAAAUGCAAGAGUUUUCUAGGUCCUGCUGCAUUGCCGCAGUUGUAUCUUACCACACUUUUUGUAUUUAUUCCUCAUGGUUGUUGGAUGCUUUCUCAUUUAAUCUAACUACUGAAAUUCUUUAGGGGAUAAUUUAGUCGAGAAUCGGCAACUGUUGUAUUCGGUUAUAUUAUUCAGUUAUAAAUUAACCUAAGAGCUGAUAACUAAGCAUGAAUUCCAGAAAUUUUGAAUUAGUAAUUUUAGCGAAAGAUCCUACACUGAUCUUGAGGUAGCAGUUAUAUAUAUAUAUAUAUAUGAAAAUAUAUUAAUAAAAAAGAGAAUAUUUGAAAACUUGUGGGGGUGACCUUGAGGUAGCAAUUAAGACCAAAACUGAUAGCAGAGGAUCACAAUUUGGUUGGAGCCAAAAAUUUCCGAUCAUUAUUACAUGAAAAUGACCUCUCACAUGUCGGCAACUGACGGCGUAAUUACAAUUCAUAACUGCAAAGUGUAUAUUAUUGGGAUUAUAUGCUCUUUUAAAGUAUAUUAAUUUAUUUUUUUAUUAAUAAAAUAUUUGAGAUAUUUUCAAUUACAUAAAUAUAUAUUGAAAAAUAUCUGUUUAAUCAUAUUAUAUAUUUUUAUGUGAUCAUUAUAUGGAUUCACAGAAGACAUAAAUAUAAGUUAUCUUAUAGUUAAAUAAAUUUAGUUUACAGUUGAUAAAUAGAGUUGAACACUCUAUUUAUGUUUAGACUGUAGUAAAUUUAUUGAAUAGUUUGUUUUAAUCAUGUAUGAAUUUACUGAUCAUUCAAUGAAUUUACUGAUGUAGUUUGACUACAUUAAUCUGGAUCACAUAUGAGAUUUAAUUAACCUUGUAAUGACUGUCAGACUUAUUAAAUCUCAUAAGCAUUGAUUUUACUGUAAUCUUAAUCUUGAGUUAGUUAUAAUUUCAUGAUUGUAAUUGUUAUUCCAUUUGAGUUACCAAUGUGCACGACACAUACUUGUAAUCAAUAUACCCAGUAUCUUGGUGGGAGCAAUUAUAAGUAUUAGAGUUAUAGAUUAACAAUAUAGAAUUUGUACAACACAUCUUUUGAUGAGUUUUUGGCAUUUGAUCAUAUAAUUCUUUGGUCAGAGUGUGUCAACAUAUUUAGUAUGUUGAAAAUGAUCAUUAGAGAAAAUCAGUAAGUAUCAAGGAAUAAGAUGUUAUUAAAUUGAUUGGACAGUUGAGAUAUUGAUUUAAUUAACGAUGUAGUACAAAGGAUUAUACAGUAAAGAAAUCAAUGUGGCUUGGGACAAAUUAUUAUUUGAGCAUACAAUUAUGGAGAUUAGUUCCAAUAUUUUAGUGGAGUAGAUUUGAAAUUAAAUAAUUAGACUAGUUUAAUUACAGACCUAAUUAUUAUAGCCACUAUUGUAUGUUACCAAAUGAUCUCCGGGUUAGCUCAUUUAAUUGACUGCGCCACUGCUAGAUUAAUAAGCAAGAUAACUAACUAUUUGGGUUAAAAGCCUAAAUAUAUUAUUUAGUGGGAGGCUCCAUGUAAUGUAUUUGUGUCUAAGGGGCAUUAUUUUACAAGGUGGACCCUUAUGACAAGAAAGAAGUAACGUUACUUUUGGUUUAUUAUUUUUAAUUUAAAUCAAAAUUGAUUCAAUAGAAUUAAAUAAUAUAAAAAAGGAGCCUAGGGUUUCCACUAGAUAGAAAUAUAAAAAUGGCUUAUUUUCUCCCAAAAGAUGGUGUGUAGCCACUUUAUACAGAUCAGAGAAAAAGAUUUUUCUCUCUAUUGUUGAGAGAAAAAAUUUUCUCAUGCUAGUUAUUUUAGUGAUGAUAAAGCCGCCCACACGUCAAGUGCAGAUCAAACUUGAGUCAUAGCCUGGAAGAUUAUUUAGUGGCGGAUCGUGAUCUAAUAGGAGUGGUGGUGACGGAUUGUGAUCUGAUAGAAGUGGUGGUGACGAAUUGUGAUCUGGGAGCCUAAAUCACCUCAGCGAAAAAAAGUCAAAUCGGAUUUUCAAGGUACGAUUUCUAGAUUACAAAUUCUUAUAUAUUGUAUGAGAGCAAUUCUAAAAAUUUUUAUAAAAAAAUUUAAAAAACUGAUUUUUCGCUAACAUAUAUGAAUGUUAGCAGUGCUGAAAGUUGAGGCAUAUAUCAAAACAGAGUGAAUUUUGCGUCACUUUCUGACUGCAUCCCUCUUCUUAAAUCUACUUCUAAACAAUCCAUAAACACAUUUACAAUCACCGGCUAAUUAGAAUUCGACUGCCUGUUAAAACUUCUCUUUUGGAUUCCUCGCUCGUCAAGCUUCUUACAAGAAAAAGAAAAAGAAAAGUACUAAUAACUUGUUGCUACUGAUUUUUUAAAUUUAUAAUUUCUUGUAUUUUAUUGUCUUUUGUAUUGGUCAAAGGCUUCCCUUAAUCGCUAUGGUUGUGAUUAAAUUAAUGUCACAGAUUUGAGUGGGAAAAAAAAAGGAAGAAGAUGAAAAAGAAGAGUCUGAAAAUAACAGAGUGAAGUUAAUUUAUAUAAGAUUUUAUAUUUCAGAUAAUGAAACUAUGUGGAAGAUUUACAUAGAUUUAAAAUUUUUUGCUAGAAUAAAACAAUAAACAAAUAUUUGUUCUAUUUAAAAUAUAACAAAAUAUAACUAAAAGUUUUAUAUGUGAUUUUAAUGAGUUCUUAAGCAAAAAUAAUGUUUUAAUAAUAUUUUAAUUUUGUCUAGUAAGGUUAUGUUAGGCGCUUAGGUAGGUUUAUAGAGUUAAAUUUAAUUUUUUAAAUUUAAAUUUUAAGAGUAUAGUAAAUGAGUUCAAUGAGGAGUUUAGUGUGUUCAAAUGAUUUCUCUAAUAUUUCAAAAGAAAAAAAAAGGUUAUAUUAUGAGAUUAUUCUAAUGGGAAAAUUGAUACACUUUACUGCUAGAAUUAAAAAAAUGUACCAAUGAUUGAGCACUCUUCGAGCGAGUGACGGCUCCAGAAUAAAAAAAGAAUAAGACAGAGAUGAGAAAGAGAAGGACUUUCAUUCAUAAAACAUGCCUUGCACAAUAUUCCCUUUUGCAUAUAUAUCUCGUGACUCCUCUAGAGUAUUCUAAGGCUAAAAAACAAACAUGAGCUGACAAUUGUAAAAUAUCUAAAUUAUAAUAACAGAAUUCAGAUAGUCGUUAAGAGGAAUUAUCCAUCCACCCUUGCUGUCAUGGUUCACGUGGCGUAGUCCUUCAUCCAGUCUGGCUGUUUCUUGGUUCUCUCGGGUCUAAAGUUGAGCUGCUGUUUUGCUUCUGCGAAUUCAUUUUUGGGCCCCUUAGUCAUGGUUUUGGUUAGUCAUGGUUUUGGUUCCUUCUUCCUCUCUUGGCAAAAUGUCCUUUGCAUCCAAUUCAAUUGACAAGCCCGUAUCAAAAAUUGUGAUGGGAUAAUUUUUUUUUUCAAUUUUUUUGUUUGGUGUUGGAAAAUUUUUGCUAUGUUAGUUGGUUUUUUUUUUUAAAAAAAAAAAUCAAAGGAAAUUUAUUCUAAAAUUAAAUUACAAUAAGAAUUACACUCACCCAUCAUUUCUCCCUCACAAAUCUGCCAUCAAACCCGUUAAUUCAAAUCUUUGUUUGACUCUUUUCUUUUUUAUCAUUAUUUCUGUUUGUGUUAAAGGGUUCGUUUUCUUUUUGCCAAUGGUUGUGUAGAGAAAUAGAAAUAAUUGCGUGCAACAGGAACCAUUUUUUUCAUUGAAAAAAGUUUCAAAAAUAAGAAAUAAAAUGGAAGGAUUGUUUUUUUUUUUAAUUACAUGAGACUAUUACUUAAAUUACAAUUCAUAUUACAUGAGACUACAAAUUUAAAAAGAAUAAAAUUAUCUUUAUUCAAAUUAAAAAGAUGAAUUAAACAUCUAUAAUAUUUUUAUAGGGAUUCGAACCACUACUCUUACAAUUGUGAGGGAGUGAUUCUAACCACUCGAUCAAAAGUCAAAGUAAUUUUGAAGGAUUGAGGUUUAACGAGGAAGAGUUCUAAUGAAGGUUAGUUUUAUUAUUAACAAUGGUGUUGCAAAAAAUUGAUAUUAUUUUGAAAAUUUUUGAGGGUGUAUAUAAAGAAACAAAAGGGGUUUUGACAGCGUUUUAAAGGGGUGCCAAUAGCCCUAACUCACUUGAUAAAUGUCAAUCAGACAAAAUUUCUCCAUCUGAGACAACCAGUGAUUCACCCAACUACAGAAUGUUCAUCGUCAACGCCGACGGCACGAUCACUCGCGAUUACAGCAAUUACCCAAGCACCACAGCCACACCCGAUCCAAAUGACCACACAAUUGCUGUCUCCAAAGAUGUCCCCGUCAACCAAUCAAACAAGACUUGGGUCCGCAUAUUCCUGCCCCGUCAAGCGCUUGAUUCUUCCACCAAGACCAAGCUUCCCCUUAUUGUUUAUGUCCACGGCGGAGGCCUCAUUCUCUUAAGCGCAGCCACAAAAAUCUACCAUGAUUUAUGUUCAGAUAUUGCAGCCCGAGUCCCUGCUGUGAUUGUGUCCGUAGAUUACAGGCUUGCCCCCGAGCACCGCCUGCCAGCGGCCUACUAUGAUGCCGUGUAAGUCUUGCACUGGAUCAAAACCACUCAAGAACACUGGUUAAUACAGUACGCUGACUUGUCGUCUUGUUUCAUAAUGGGCGAUAGCGGAGGUGGCAACGUAGCUUACCACGCAGCACUGCUAGCAGCGGCGCAAGUUGAUGAUUUGUUGCCUUUGAAGAUCAGAGGUCUGAUAUUGCUCAAGCCUUUCUUUGGUGGGGUCAAAAGGACGGAGUCAGAGUUGAGGUUGGCGAAUCAACCGAUUUUACCACCAUCUAGUACUGAUUUACUGUGGCAGUUGGCAUUACCGAUCGGGGCCGACCGUGAUCAUGAGUAUUGCAAUCCAACGGCCCGAGGUGGGUCAAAGGUUUUAGACCAAUUCAGGUUGUUAGGGUGGAGGGUGAUGGUGACUGGGGGCAGUGAGGAUACGUUGUUUGACCGUCAGGUUGACCUGGCGAAGAUGAUGGAGCAAAAAGGCGUCAAUGUGGUGAGUUAUUUUGAUGAUAGCGGCCACAGUUUGCUUAGAGAUCCUAUCAAGCUCGAGGCCCUCCAUGUUACCAUAAAAAAUUUCAUUUUGUCUUGAGAAUCGAAGUGGCUGUAUAUUACAAUUAUUAGUGACUGUUGUUCAUUUUGGGCUGAUCAAGGGGUGCUUAAUUUGUUAUGGCUGAUUGUUGGCAUUUGCUUUCUUUUCUUAAUAUAUAUGUCAGCCAUAUGUUACAGAUACUGUCUGGUGUCUUAAAUUGUUUGUUAUUCCGGUUUUGUUAUGAUGAUUAAAUUAAUAAAGACAUAUUGCAAGCAUAUAUGCCUGUAUGUUAUCUUGCCACUGCAUUUGUUUGCUCACUGCUCAGUUUAACUCUUCUAUUUGAAUUGAUUCAAGGGUACAUGCCAUAGUCAGGAUGUCGCAUUCCUGUGCGUAUAAAUUCAGAUUUUUCCCAAUAUUGGUUAGGUCGAGCUUAUUUGACACGGUUUUCCUCAAUAUUGUUUUCUCAUUGACAUGUUUAUGUUGUCUUGACUUCCUAUACUCCUUUCGGAACUUGCAGAAAGGUCCGCAUAGCAAUUUGAUUUGUGCUACAAACUCCCAGUAAAUCCCAAGUUUUAAUGUUAGUAAAUUUAAUUAUAUUUUCUUAUCGCUGAGUAGGCACUUCAAAGAAUAAUCCAUGUGAGAAAUUACAUCCCCCUCCCUUGGCAAUUAUGAGUUAUAGCACGGCUGCUAAUUGGCUAGAUUUUUCGGGGAUACUCUGAAAAGUGCCUUUGCUAUAAUCAUAUAGAUUUCAAGCCUUAGUUGAUCCGUAAUUAUUAUAACGUCCAUAUUCUGUAAUAUGAUAAUGAUAAAUAAACAAAAGGGACUAGCGUCACAGCAUGUGUGAGAUGUUAGAGCAAGGCGUUUGAUGCAAUUGCAAGGAUGUUUGAUGAGAUGCCUGAAUGAAGACAGUGCGUCAGGAUUGACGAGUGAGCUGGAGCUGCAGUGGCAUUGACUUGGACAUGACAAGAUGACAUUAUAUAUAUAUAUAUAUAUAUAUAUGGACGGGUGACUCAGCUUACUCGAAGAACUAAGUUGACUUAAAGCGAAUGAUUAGGUGAUAAGGUAUGGUACAAGUAAUAUGAACUAUUAGAUUGAAUCAUCUGUAGCCAUUAGAUGAGGAUUGCAGCUGUGAAUAGUUCAAAUGUGACAUUGCAGGGUAAAGCACACUUAUUGUAUUAGCCCCCGUAAAAGUAUUAUAAAGUGGCAAUCCCUAAGUUACGUUUACAGUCCAGUGAAUCUAAGACGUUGAAUGUACUCAAAUUUGGAUCCAACGGAUGACAUUAAAAUUUUAAAAAGUAAUAUUAAGUGGUAAAUCGGCCGAACUGAUUAUUUUAAGGAACGGGCUACUUGACCAAACGGUUUAUUCUUAGAAAAAGAAUAAAUUUUUUUUUUAUCCCUCGUCUCUUUUUCUUCUUCAAUCAAAGCAAUUUUCUGCAACAAAUUUAACUGGGUAAAUACAAUUUUUAUAACUUGAUUUCAAUCCCCUUUUUAUUUAGAAUUUCCCAUGCUUUAUAACUUGUGUAAUCCAUGAACAAAUUUUGUUGUAAAUCUAAUGCAUAAAUCUUUCUAUCCCGUCAUUAGUUUUGCUUCCCGUGCCUUAUUAAAUUUACUUUUUUUCCCUUUUUUUAAUCCAUUCUUUGCAUUUUGAAUCGUGAUUUUGCAGUUAAUUCGGUCCAAGAAUUUUCUAUGUAUUCAAUUUUUUAUCCAUUUAAUUUGCUUCGAUGAACAGUGAUGAAGUUGUAAAUUUUGAUCCUUUCAUGCUCUAAUCUUAAGCUUCGAAUUGAUGAAAGAAACCCAUGCUCCAACUUGUGUAGGUAUAUGUUUAAUAAAGUAUUAAUUAGGUUGUGAAUUUGUGAAUUUUAGUUUUCAUCUACACCCUUUUUCACCUCUCUGUUUCUUCAUUUCACUUCAUUUCACCUCACUCAACACAAGAAAAUUUUUAGCCCUCACAGCCUUCAAUCAACACGCAACAACCCUAAGCUGACAACAAGAACAGAAACAACGACAACAAGAACAGAAGCAAAAACAGACCCAUAUCUGCAAUUUUCUUUACAAUCCUUUUCUUGAUCUGGGUUUUGUUUUGACUCCAAGAAAAUGGCCGAGGGAGGAGAAUAAUCACAACUAGAAACUGAUUUUGCAGUCUCCAAGCUGGUUUUCCAUCUGGAUUUUGUUUGGAACUGAAUAAAAACUCCGACUUUGAAGUUGGAUUUGAAUCAUUGAAAUCCGGGUGGCUGAAAUUCGGUGGUGGAGGUUGGCAGUGAAUUUUGAGGAGGAUUGGGUUGGAAGAAGAGAUAGAAUCUCUUUUGCUUAACGUUAUGGUGUGUUAUGGUUAACUUUUGUCAUGACCGGCUAUAGAAAGGAAUUUCUCCCGUUGACACAUGUUGGUGACCGAACUCCAACCUUUUAAACCAGUUUCAUUUUAUUGCUAUUUUGUUCACUUGGCAUCUAUUUAUUGGCCAACCCAUCGCAUCACUGAGUGUAAGUUACGGUAAAUGUAACUUAGAGAGGUCCUUAUAAAGUUAGUUUCAAUCUUUUUUUAAUUAUUUCAUACAUUUUGUAAUCUCUAAUAUAAUAGAUCAAUUAGUAUAAAUGUGAUUGUAAAUAUAAGUUAUAAUCUCUAAUGUAAUAUCACAAAUAAUCUUGUAUAAAAGAAUGAAACUGAGAUUUCAAAAUACAUAAUGUGAUAAUAAAGAGAGAACAUGACCUUUCUAUAUAUUUUACAAAUUUUCUUGCACAAUUACAUAAUUUUGUAGAUUGAAAGAAAACUAAGUUGAAAUAAUUAGUAUGCGAUUUCUACUAUUAAUGUUACAUAUCUCGCAUCAUAAAAAAAAAAAGAUAAACAAGUUAAAGAAAAUCAUGCUAAAAAUCAAUAGACGAGGAACGCCAUAAAAGAGCUUAUCUGAGGAUUGGACUAUGUAUUCAGGUAUCCCAUUGAUUUCUAUUAGGAUAAAAUAGGUGCUCGAUAAACUGAACAAGGUAUUUGAUGAAAUUCUUCUGCACUACAACCCCGGCAUCAAUCAAUAGUCCAGUACGAAAUAAGGUGAAAAAUUGAAUUAGCAGCUCUUUGGUGACAACACAAGGUUAACACAGCAUUCUCAGUGAGGAUUUUCUAAAUCUAGAUGGCUCAUGGAUCAGCAUAAGCAAAUGUAGACGACAAACAUGCAUGGUUGUUUUUGGGUUUUGUUAACUGUUAAAGUUACAUUUAUUGUAACUUAAAAUCAAGCUUUUUAAAUAUAAAAACGAGUAAUAGAUAUUAGGGUCAGGUGAGCCAAUAAAUAAGUUUUGUUUGGCUAUAAAUUAUAUUAAAUGUAACAGAUAACUUCAAAAGUCAAUGAGCUCGUAGUUCGUUGGUAUGUCUCCUUGAACUCUUAGUGAGGGUCGAUCUUUAAGAUGUGUCAUAAUAAAAUUAUUUACGAAGAAUAUCGAUGAUAGUAAAAUAUGAGUAGAGUUAUGAUUAUAAUAAAUUAGUAUAUGUAUAUAUUAAAAAAAAUACUUAAGAUGACCCUUAUCUUUAAUAACAAAGGGAAUUUAUCUAUGACCAUUGGAUCAAGUGAGCAAUUGGAUCAAGUGAGCAACUCUUUGUUGACACGUUAUGCUGAGUCAGGGAUUCUCUAGAUGGCUCAUGGACAAGCAUUAGCAAAUGUACAAAGUCAAAAUAUCUAUCAUCCGUGACCACAGGAUUGCAAUGUGUAUAGCCGUUAGAUUAAUUUACAGCCGUAUGUUGGACAAAUCAUUCUUGGUAUGCUCCUGCACAUAUCAGACAAUCAGUGGAUCAUGAAAAGUUGAACACUUACGCUGGGAAAAAAAUACUGUUCAUUACAUUUUUCUCUCUCUUUUUUUUUUUAACUUAUUAUUAAGUUCUUUGCACUUUUAUCAUUUGAAUUAUUUCUGGACCUAAAUAGCGGAUAAACGACUGGUCUGAAGUGCAGGCUAUUUUGACUUUUCAGUCACACCUAUUGUUGCGCGUUCGCAUCCCAUUGUAGCAAAGCCUACAGUCGGUUGCACCAUCAUAUCAUCCAAGUUCAAAACAAUUUGCCCAACAAUGGAAAACUUCCCGGUGAGGAUCAACGCCGAUGGCACCAUCACUCGGGAACCCGAUGUUUUGCCAAGAACACCAGCCAAACCCGAUCCAAAUGACAACACAAUAGCCCUCUCAAAAGAUUUCACCGUCAACCAAUCAAAAAACAUCUGGGUACGUAUAUUCCUGCCCCGUCAAGCACUUAAUAAUAAUAAUAAUACUUGUUCCUCAUCAUCCGCCAAGCUCCCUCUCAUUAUUCACUUCCACGGCGGAGGCUUCGUUUUAAAAAGCGCAGCUACAUCCACCAUCCAUGAGUACUGCCAAUUGAUCGCGGCCCAAAUCCCUGCUGUGGUCGUGACAGCAGAGUAUCGUCUUGCCCCUGAGCAUCGUCUUCCCGCAGCCUACGAUGAUGGCAUGGAAGUGUUGCACUGGCUCAAGACAAGUCAAGACGGGUGGUUACAACAGUACGCUGACUUUUCUUCCUGUUUCUUAACGGGAGAUAGCGCUGGUGGUAACCUAGCUUACCAGGUAGGAUUACGUGCAUCUGCUAUAGUUGAUGAUUUGUUGCCGCUGACAAUCAAGGGCCUGAUUUUGAUCAAACCAUACUUCAGUGGGGUCAAGAGGACGGAAUCAGAGUUGAGAUUGGAGAAAGAUCCUGAUUUUCCGUUGGCUAUUAAUGAUAUGUGUUGGGAGUUGGCACUGCCACUGGGUGCAGACCGUGAUCAUGAGUAUUGCAAUCCGACGGUGGGAGGUGGAUCAAAGCUGAUUGAGAAAAUGAGCUCGCUCGGAUGGAGGGUGAUGGAGUACGUUGGCUUUGCUGACCCAAU
rnacentral:lncRNA from 1 species